UAAACAAAUAUAAAAAUAAAAGAUCGUAAGGGUUACCGAUUUUAUUAUGAAGUUUCUAGUAGCCGACAUCUAUCUCUAAUUCUCAUCUACUCCCGGCCCUCCACUCCCUCUUUCUUUUUCCUCUCUAAGUCUUUGUAUCAAUUUCUACUUUCUUUCUCCUUUAAAACUUAAUAUGUGAGAGAUCAAGUCCAUAUAAAUUCAGACAAUCGACCACCACAUGCAAUCAUAUUGCAAAUUGUCAGCCUCCACUACAAGAUUCACAGAGAUAUCUAAAUUUGUUCGUCUCAUACGUACAACAGAGUCGAUUACAACGGAGUCCAAGUUCUAUGGGGACUCCCCUUGCUGAAGAUGUUAAUGAGGAAGGAUUUCUUGAGAGAGAGGAUAUGCCACAACCUAAACAAGAUGAUAAUUGUGGAAAAACAGCAAAUCGCAACGCACCAAACCGUAUAUUGCGGUGCGGUUUGUAUAAAAUUGCGGUUUGAAAAAAAUCACAAACCGCAAUUUUACGGUUUAGUGCGGUUUGAGACCCAAACCGCACCUUGCACAGCCCUAGCAAAUUAAAGAUUAUUUGAUCUUUAUUUCUAUA